rnacentral:rRNA from 1 species
GACGAACGCUGGCGGCGUGCUUAACACAUGCAAGUCGAACGGAAAGGCCCCUUUGGGGGUACUCGAGUGGCGAACGGGUGAGUAACACGUGAGUAACCUGCCCUUGACUUCGGGAUAACUUCAGGAAACUGGGGCCAAUACCGGAUAGGAAUCCUUGCUGCAUGGUGGGGGUUGGAAAGCUUCGGCGGUUUUGGAUGGACUCGCGGCUUAUCAGCUUGUUGGUGGGGUAGUGGCUUACCAAGGCUUUGACGGGUAGCCGGCCUGAGAGGGCGACCGGCCACAUUGGGACUGAGAUACGGCCCAGACUCCUACGGGAGGCAGCAGUGGGGAAUAUUGCACAAUGGGCGGAAGCCUGAUGCAGCAACGCCGCGUGCGGGAGGACGGCCUUCGGGUUGUAAACCGCUUUCAGCAGGGGCGAAGCUUGUGGUGACGGUACCUGCAGAAGAAGCACCGGCUAACUACGUG